UACGAAGGGUGCAAGCGUUACUCGGAAUUACUGGGCGUAAAGCGUGCGUAGGUGGUUUGUUAAGUCUGAUGUGAAAGCCCUGGGCUCAACCUGGGAAUUGCAUUGGAUACUGGCAGGCUAGAGUGCGGUAGAGGAUGGCGGAAUUCCCGGUGUAGCAGUGAAAUGCGUAGAGAUCGGGGAGGAACAUCUGUGGCGAAGGCGGCCAUCUGGACCAGCACUGACACUGAGGCACGAAAGCGUGGG
rnacentral:rRNA from 1 species